UGCCACACUAGUCAGUUACCUCAUUAAUCCUCUGAAAAGCACCAUCAGUUCUAAUUUUUUUGGCCAUUGAAGAAAUGAAAAUGAACCAAAGUCUUUAUGAAGUUACAGUGCAACUUUUUUCCUCUGCAAACUAGAAUGAUGCAUUACAUACUUCUGCCUUCUAUUUUUUAGUUAUAAUGCUGAAAUGGAAUUACCUGAAAGGACUAAACCUCUCAUGGCCACAGAAAUAUCUCUGGCAUGAACUGUAUAUGUUACUGUGAUUGUUUUGGAAAAGAGGAGAAGAAGGAAAUAAACAAACAAAACCCUCCCAAACAAACAAACUAAUCCUACUUGUGUAAAAAAAAGUAUUGCAAUCUGCCUUUAGGCAAAAUUCUGUUAAGAUUCUUUUGAGUUUCCAUUGGACACUGGUUUCUGUAUACACUGAGAAAAUUGCCAGCCCACCUGUUACCCAUCCAAACUGGAAUUGACCAUGAUGGCUGAUGAGUCUUCAGAGAUUGUUCCUUUGCAUCAGCUACUUGAGUAUGCUUCUGCCAUGUUACUUACUUCUCCUCAAUCAAAAACUCCAAAGACAAUGGGUCUACAGGUGAAAAUAGCUCCUAUAAAGAUGCCUUGUCUUUUUGACCAAUGCUGGGGUUUAAUGGGAUUCUCUCCAGUGCUCAGGGGAACUGGACAUAUUCAAGAAGAUGCAGGACCUGUUUUUCCUAUUGUUUGAGAUUUCAGUGGCUUCAUAUCUUCCCCUGCUGAAGGAGGCAGAGGGAGGCCAAGAGAUGAGCUGACAAAUAUUUUUUUUCGUCUAAGUCUUUUCCCAUUUUCUCGACUCUACAACUCAAUACCAAGGCAGAUUUCCCUCUCCCCUUUGCAUGGGGCUGUGGAAUUGUGAAACCAGAAGGUCUAGUCUGCAGGGCAGAACAGUAGCAUGCGUUUCCCCACCGUGCACCCUGUGGCUGAUGGGGUAGAGGAAAUCACAGGCUUGGAAGGGCAUUUGAUUGGAAUCUCCUUGGCCAGAGGCACAGAGAAGAAAAGAUGCUGCACUGGCAGAAAGUAACAAUGUUAUCAUUACCCUUCUCCCAGGUCCUACUCUUUGUCUUUUUUCUCUCCCUCUGAAUUAAAAAAAAUAAAUACAUAUACAAUAUUUAG
rnacentral:lncRNA from 1 species